GCGAGACAAUGCUAUAGUCGAGUUUCUCGACUAUCAGAUACCCGUAAAAUAGCUGACCGAUUGCGAACAAGAAAUUGUGUUGAGAAUUUAUUUAUUGCCUAUCUGCUCCCCAACUAAAUCCAGUGCUUACAGGAUGAGGGUUAAGUUCUCGAAAUUUCGAUGGGCACCAUACGGACGAACGCAGAGUACACAGAAGGACGCGAUGAAGGAUCUCUAAGCUGGAUGGAAUUUAUCCUAACAAACCAAAACAUUGCAUACGCCUAUGGAAGAAUAAAUUUCAAGUGUGCAGAAAACCAGAAUUUCCUAUCGAAAAGGAUUCCAAAAUCUCAUAUAACAAGGACAGCCUGAAGCAAGAAACUCACACUAAAAAUGUUAAAAAAAUAAUCUAUAAAAAUAGGCAAAAAAUAAUAAAAUUAAAAUAUUACAAAAACAAAA